AUGUCUGGGAGGUCUCCGAGGGUGAGAGAAAGGGGGAGCUGCUCGGGGAAGGUGCGGUUUCAAAGGAGAGUGGUGGCGGAGGCAGCCCGUUUGUGGCAGUUGCUGGAAAUGGAUCGCCGGAGGUGGCAAUGUCGCCGCUCAGCAGUGCAGACAAGGGAUAUGUGGAGAAGAAGAGGAGGCCACGGGUGCAGAGCAGACGCAAGUCCAUCGGUUCUGAUCAUCUGGUUGUGCCCGGACGAACCACUGUGUCAGAAGCACAAUAAGCCAUACGAGUAUAUUCAUCGCCCACACAAAGCAAACUCAAUCCAAAAGUUCAAAGGCAAGAAAAUCCAUGUAAAGCCUAGAAAGUACAUUCUCCGUGGUGAGCCUUGCAUCCACUACUUAGAUGAGUUUAGUCACCACAUUGUGUGGGGCAACACAGUUAAGCUCUACAACCAUAAUGUUCGUACACUGCAAAAGAUCAUCCGCAGCACCACCACGCCUGAUAACUACUAUGUGUGUCACAUGACAGAAACAUUUGCAACACAAGGCAAAAGAAUGUACUUUAGCGUUCCCUUUUCUAUGGGUUCCCUUUUCCCACACAUGGAUGUUGACCAUGGUGAACUGCCAAUCACUACUGGAGACGGAACUAUCACUGUCACGGCCCGCUUUAUCAAGGGUGUUGACAAAAGGGCAACCAUCACUAAAGGCUGGAGCGACUUCUUCUGUCAGGCACACAUGAACGAAGGGCAAGUAUAUGCUUUCGCCUUCAAAUGCACUUCCAAGGGACUGUGCCUAAUCAUCUACUCAAUAUAA
rnacentral:rRNA from 1 species